UACAGAGGGGGCAAGCGUUAUUCGGAAUUACUGGGCGUAAAGGGCGCGUAGGCGGGAUGGCAAGUCGGUCGUGAAAUCCUUCGGCUCAACCGAAGAACGUCGAUCGAUACUGCUGUUCUUGAGGAUUGCAGAGGAGACUGGAAUUCCCGGUGUAGCGGUGAAAUGUGUAGAGAUCGGGAGGAACACCGGUGGCGAAGGCGGGUCUCUGGGCAAUUCCUGACGCUGAGGCGCGAAAGCGUGGGGAGCAAACGGG
rnacentral:rRNA from 1 species